AAAUGCGUAGUGUUGCGGAGGAAUCGCCGUGGAGAAGGCGCCCCCUUCAUAAACGACCAUUCUCACGUGAGAGACAGUGGUGAGCAAACGGGAUAGAUCCCCUGGUAGUACACUCCAUAAACGAUGUCGAUUCAGAGGUUGUGCCGGUGAGGUGUGGCUUCCGGAGAAAACGCGUUAAAUCGACCGCGUGGGGAGUACGCCCCGCAAGGUUAAAACUCAAAUGAAUUGACGGGGCCCCGCACAAGCGGUGGAGCAUGUGGUUUAAUUCGAUGCAACGCGAAGAACCUUACCUGGUCUUGACAUCCACAGAACUUUCCAGAGAUGGAUUGGUGCCUUCGGGAACUGUGAGACAGGUGCUGCAUGGCUGUCGUCAGCUCGUGUUGUGAAAUGUUGGGUUAAGUCCCGCAACGAGCGCAACCCUUAUCCUUUGUUGCCAGCGGUCAGGCCGGGAACUCAAAGGAGACUGCCAGUGAUAAACUGGAGGAAGGUGGGGAUGACGUCAAGUCAUCAUGGCCCUUACGACCAGGGCUACACACGUGCUACAAUGGCAUAUACAAAGAGAAGCGACCUCGCGAGAGCAAGCGGACCUCAUAAAGUAUGUCGUAGUCCGGAUUGGAGUCUGCAACUCGACUCCAUGAAGUCGGAAUCGCUAGUAAUCGUAGAUCAGAAUGCUACGGUGAAUACGUUCCCGGGCCUUGUACACACCGCCCGUCACACCAUGGGAGUGGGUUGCAAAAGAAGUAGGUAGCAUAACCUUCCAGAGUAAGCAUGCUAGAGUAUAGC
rnacentral:rRNA from 1 species